rnacentral:lncRNA from 1 species
GGACACAAGGGCACACUAAAGCAGUGAAAAGGAGAGACCAUUGCUACAUGCCUCAGUAAGGACUGAUCUCAAGGACAUGAUGGCAGGGGGGGAAGAAUUCAGUCUCAAAUGUUACACACUGUGCCAUUCCGUUUCUAUCCUGCUGCCAAGAAGACAAGGUCACAGUGAUGCAGAACAGACUGGUUGUUGCUGGAGAAACAGUGGAAAGGACCCUUCCAGUAGUACCAAACACAAUGGAGACCUUCCAGAAGUACCAAACCCAACAGAGACCUCCUAGGAGUACCAAACCCAAUGAAGACCAGCUCUCAAUGCUCUCUACACCUAGGAGUUAUCCCGGCCUCCUCCUCUAAGUUGUUUUCCAUGUUGCGUACAG